rnacentral:rRNA from 1 species
GACGAACGCUGGCGGCGUGCCUAAUACAUGCAAGUCGAACGCUUCUUUCCUCCCGAGUGCUUGCACUCCAUUGGAAAGAGGAGUGGCGGACGGGUGAGUAACACGUGGGUAACCUACCCAUCAGAGGGGGAUAACACUUGGAAACAGGUGCUAAUACCGCAUAACAGUUUAUGCCGCAUGGCAUAAGAGUGAAAGGCGCUUUCGGGUGUCGCUGAUGGAUGGACCCGCGGUGCAUUAGCUAGUUGGUGAGGUAACGGCUCACCAAGGCCACGAUGCAUAGCCGACCUGAGAGGGUGAUCGGCCACACUGGGACUGAGACACGGCCCAGACUCCUACGGGAGGCAGCAGUAGGGAAUCUUCGGCAAUGGACGAAAGUCUGACCGAGCAACGCCGCGUGAGUGAAGAAGGUUUUCGGAUCGUAAAACUCUGUUGUUAGAGAAGAACAAGGACGUUAGUAACUGAACGUCCCCUGACGGUAUCUAACCAGAAAGACACGGCUAACUACGUG